AGGGGGUGAAGAUGGCACAGUCAUAGAAGCUGGCUGUCACCGUGGUCAUGGUGCCAGGGCUCUGCCUGGAGUCACCGCCCGCCGCACCUGCAUUCCUGCACUCCUGCACUGCCUCCUCCACUUCAGUCUGCAGUUGGGACAGGAAUGAGCAGGGGAGCCACUCACCUGGGAAUGCAGCAGCUGCACCCGCUCGCUGGUCUCAAUCAGCUCCUGCUCUGCCAGCUUCCGAGACCGCUCUGUCUGCUCCACCACGGCACGCAGCUCCUCCAGCUCAGCCUGCAGCAGGUUGUUGCGCCGCUCCACAAUGGCGAUGUUCUCCUUCAGGUCGUCGUUGGCGCGGACUGCGUCGUCCAGCUGAAUCUGGGUGUCCUGAGGAUCAGGAGAGUGGGCAUGAGUGGGGAGUCAGCCUCGGUGCCCUUCACUGAGGGCACCUGUCAGAGGUCCCUGCAGUGACCCAGGGUCAGGAGGAAUCUGGUGCCUGUGUUGAGACACCACUGCUUCUUCAGGCCACGUGGAGGCCAGUCUCCUCCGGGUGAGGGGACCUCCU